UACGUAGGUGGCAAGCGUUUGUCCGGAUUUACUGGGCGUAAAGGAUGCGUAGGCGGACAUUUAAGUCAGAUGUGAAAUACCCGAGCUUAACUUGGGUGCUGCAUUUGAAACUGGGUGUCUAGAGUGCAGGAGAGGUAAGUGGAAUUCCUAGUGUAGCGGUGAAAUGCGUAGAGAUUAGGAAGAACACCAGUGGCGAAGGCGACUUACUGGACUGUAACUGACGCUGAGGCAUGAAAGCGUGGGAGCAAACAGG
rnacentral:rRNA from 1 species